rnacentral:rRNA from 1 species
GACUCUCGGCAACGGAUAUCUCGACUUUCGCAUCGAUGAAGAACGUAGGGAAAUGCGAUACUUUGUGUGAAUUGCAGAAUCUCACGAACCACCGAGUCUUCGAACGCAAGUUGCGCCCGAAGCCAUUAGGCCGAGGGCACAUUUGCCUGGGCGUCA